CGGCGUGCUUAACACAUGCAAGUCGAACGGAAAGGCCCUGCUUUUGUGGGGUGCUCGAGUGGCGAACGGGCGAGUAACACGUGAGUAACCUGCCCUUGACUUUGGGAUAACUUCAGGAAACUGGGGCUAAUACCGGAUAGGAGCUCCUGCUGCAUGGUGGGGGUUGGAAAGUUUCGGCGGUUGGGGAUGGACUCGCGGCUUAUCAGCUUGUUGGUGGGGUAGUGGCUUACCAAGGCUUUGACGGGUAGCCGGCCUGAGAGGGUGACCGGCCACAUUGGGACUGAGAUACGGCCCAGACUCCUACGGGAGGCAGCAGUGGGGAAUAUUGCACAAUGGGCGGAAGCCUGAUGCAGCAACGCCGCGUGCGGGAUGACGGCCUUCGGGUUGUAAACCGCUUUCGCCUGUGACGAAGCGUGAGUGACGGUAAUGGGUAAAGAAGCACCGGCUAACUACGUGCCAGCAGCCGCGGUGAUACGUAGGGUGCGAGCGUUGUCCGGAUUUAUUGGGCGUAAAGGGCUCGUAGGUGGUUGAUCGCGUCGGAAGUGUAAUCUUGGGGCUUAACCCUGAGCGUGCUUUCGAUACGGGUUGACUUGAGGAAGGUAGGGGAGAAUGGAAUUCCUGGUGGAGCGGUGGAAUGCGCAGAUAUCAGGAGGAACACCAGUGGCGAAGGCGGUUCUCUGGGCCUUUCCUGACGCUGAGGAGCGAAAGCGUGGGGAGCGAACAGGCUUAGAUACCCUGGUAGUCCACGCUGUAAACGGUGGGUACUAGGUGUGGGGUCCAUUCCACGGGUUCCGUGCCGUAGCUAACGCUUUAAGUACCCCGCCUGGGGAGUACGGCCGCAAGGCUAAAACUCAAAGGAAUUGACGGGGCCCCGCACAAGCGGCGGAGCAUGCGGAUUAAUUCGAUGCAACGCGUAGAACCUUACCUGGGUUUGACAUGGAUCGGGAGUGCUCAGAGAUGGGUGUGCCUCUUUUGGGGUCGGUUCACAGGUGGUGCAUGGCUGUCGUCAGCUCGUGUCGUGAGAUGUUGGGUUAAGUCCCGCAACGAGCGCAACCCUUGUUCACUGUUGCCAGCACGUUAUGGUGGGGACUCAGUGGAGACCGCCGGGGUCAACUCGGAGGAAGGUGGGGAUGACGUCAAGUCAUCAUGCCCCUUAUGUCCAGGGCUUCACGCAUGCUACAAUGGCUGGUACAGAGAGUGGCGAGCCUGUGAGGGUGAGCGAAUCUCGGAAAGCCGGUCUCAGUUCGGAUUGGGGUCUGCAACUCGACCUCAUGAAGUCGGAGUCGCUAGUAAUCGCAGAUCAGCAACGCUGCGGUGAAUACGUUCCCGGGGCUUGUACACACCGCCCGUCAAGUCAUGAAAGUUGGUAACACCCGAAGCCGGUGGCCUAACCGUUGUGGGGGAGCCGUCGAAGGUGGGACUGGUGAUUAGGACUAA
rnacentral:rRNA from 1 species